UAGAUGAGAGCACAGACAUAUAUAGAAGAAGAGUGCCUUACUCAAAGUCACACCACUAUUUUAAAUAUCAUCAAGGUUUCUCUAUAGAGUCUUGACACCAAGAAUGAAGUGCCUCCAACCCUCAAAAAAUGAACAGGGAAAAAAAUUAUGUUUUUUCCUUAAUUUUGUCACCAUAAAAUCAUCUUCUUGCUCUGAUACACCUGACAUUUCUUGCUUGAUUGUGGAACUACAGGAGGUGAUAUUGGAGGAAAGAAGGUCUCUCUGGGAGGCAGAAGGUGAUGCUGGAAAAGCAGGCCAAUUUAGAGCUUUAUGGAAAACAAGACUGAGGGAUGACUGCUGGCUUCCUUGUCUCCUCUGCAGAUUCCUGAAAUUACGUCUUCUAAAUACUGUAGGUUUUUAAUUCUCCUUGGAUUAUUUAAUCACGAGUGUCUUGGUCCUGUUUGUGGAUUCAUACGAAGCAUCUCAUAAAGGUGAAGGAAGGAUAAGGACCCAGAGGCCCUUAGAAUGGAGGCUAUGUUACCAUCUUGGCUUGAAGUAUGGAAACAUCCCUGUGAUUACUGUAGCCCUGAAGUUAAAAGGGAAUUUUCGGAAAGUUUUAAACCAUAGGACUAUCUCCAGGGGCUCAGAUAUUUUAUUAUUAUUAUUCCUUCAUUAUUACUUUAGAAGGAAUGAAAUCAAUUUGGAAAUUGAUUCGAUUCAUACAGUAAGAAAAGUAUUAGUAGGAGAAAGAAUUUUCAAAAAUGAAGAAAGAAACAUGCAUUGAUUUGGGAGGAAUGAAUUUUAUUUCAUGCAAAGGUUAAAUCACAAAGGAAAAACUAAGAAGAUAUCCAAAACCAAAAACAUUUCCUGUAAUUGCUUUUAAAAGUGGGACCAGGAGAAAGGAAUAUUUUAGUUGUGACUAUAUUAGGAAUGAUAGCAAUGAUAACUGUGGCCCAAAAACAUGGAACAGAUGACAAGGGGCAAAACUCAGAAAGGAAGCAAAUGACUUCCUCAGAGAAAAAUCAUAUCUAGAUAUUAUGGGAAGUCCCUCUUAAAGCUAAAACCAGGGGCACCUGGUGGCUCAGUAGUUGAGCAUCUGCCUUUGGCUCAGGUCCUGAUCCUGGGGUCCCGGGAUCGAGUCCCACAUUGGGCUCCUUGUGAGGCGCCUGCUUCUCCCUCUGCCUAUGUCUCUGUCUCUCUCUCCAUGUUUCUCAUGAAUAAAUAAAUACAAUCUUAAAAAAAAAAAGAAAGC
rnacentral:lncRNA from 12 species